UACGUAGGAGGCGAGCGUUGUCCGGAAUCACUGGGCGUAAAGCGCGUGUAGGCGGGGGGGCAAGUCUGCUGUGAAAGCGCCUGGCUUAACCGGGCGAGGUCGGCGGAAACUGCUUCCCUGGAGGGCGGUAGAGGGGGGGGUGGAAUUCCCGGUGUAGUGGUGAAAUGCGUAGAUAUCGGGAGGAACACCAGUGGCGAAGGCGACUACCUGGCCUGUUCUUGACGCUGAGGCGCGAAAGCUAGGGGAGCAAACGGG
rnacentral:rRNA from 1 species